CCUACGGGGGGCAGCAGUAGGGAAUCUUCCACAAUGGACGAAAGUCUGAUGGAGCAACGCCGCGUGAGUGAAGAAGGGUUUCGGCUCGUAAAGCUCUGUUGGUAGUGAAGAAAGAUAGAGGUAGUAAAUGGCCUUUAUUUGACGGUAAUUACUUAGAAAGUCACGGCUAACUACGUGCCAGCAGCCGCGGUAAUACGUAGGUGGCAAGCGUUGACCGGAUUUAUUGGGCGUAAAGCGAGUGCAGGCGGUUGAAUAAGUCUGAUGUGAAAGCCCUGGGCUCAACCGGAGAAUUGCAUCAGAAACUGUUGAACUUGAGUGCAGAAGAGGGGGGUAGAACUCCAUGUGUAGCGGUGGAAUGCGUAGAGAUAUGGAAGAACACCAGUGGCGAAGGCGGCUCUCUGGUC
rnacentral:rRNA from 1 species